UACGUAGGGACCAAGCGUUGUUCGGAUUUACUGGGCGUAAAGGGCGCGUAGGCGGCAAUUCAAGUCAGCUGUGAAAUCUCCGGGCUUAACCCGGAACGGUCAGAUGAUACUGCUUUGCUAGAGUGCGGAAGGGGCAAUCGGAAUUCUCGGUGUAGCGGUGAAAUGCGUAGAUAUCGAGAGGAACACCUGAGGUGAAGACGGGUUGCUGGGCCGACACUGACGCUGAUAGCGCGAAAGCCAGGGGAGCAAACAGG
rnacentral:rRNA from 1 species